CGGGCCGUAGCUCAGACUGGUAGAGCGCACGGAGAGGGGUUCGCCCCAAGGAUCGUGAGGUCGCGGGUUCAAAUCCUGUCGGUCCGACCA
rnacentral:tRNA from 1 species